UUGUGAGGUAGAGGCGCGAUAUUUAACAGUUUUUAGUGGAGCUUGAGGUGCAUUGAUACUAGGAAGAAGGAAAUAUUGCCGAAGCAAAUAAUACUCUCACUAUUAUUUGCUGGGUCUACAGUUAAGAACUGUAGGACUGUCUUAAUAAACUACCCUGUUUAUUAAGGUGUGCUAUCUCCAUU
rnacentral:ncRNA from 2 species